CGCCCGUUAGCUCAGUUGGUUAGAGCGUCGUGCUAAUAACGCGAAGGUCGUGGGUUCGAUCCCCCCACGGGCCA
rnacentral:tRNA from 1 species